rnacentral:rRNA from 1 species
AUUGAACGCUGGCGGUAUGCCUUACACAUGCAAGUCGAACGGUAACAGGUCUUCGGAUGCUGACGAGUGGCGAACGGGUGAGUAAUACAUCGGAACGUGCCUAGUAGUGGGGGAUAACUACUCGAAAGAGUGGCUAAUACCGCAUGAGAUCUACGGAUGAAAGCAGGGGAUCGCAAGACCUUGUGCUACUAGAGCGGCCGAUGGCAGAUUAGGUAGGUGGUGGGGUAAAAGCUUACCAAGCCGACGAUCUGUAGCUGGUCUGAGAGGACGAUCAGCCACACUGGGACUGAGACACGGCCCAGACUCCUACGGGAGGCAGCAGUGGGGAAUUUUGGACAAUGGGCGAAAGCCUGAUCCAGCAAUGCCGCGUGCAGGAUGGAGGCCUUCGGGUUGUAAACUGCUUUUGUACGGAACGAAAAGCCCCGGGUUAAUACCCUGGGGUCAUGACGGUACCGUAAGAAUAAGCACCGGCUAACUACGUGCCAGCCGCCGCCGUAA